GAUGAUUUGAUGUCCUAAAGAAGCCUUCCACUUCUUAACGUCGAAAAACUCAUUCCCUCUUUUUAAUUUUUGUGGCACACUUCCUUCUUUUCCCACACAUAACCUCUUCUUAACACCCUAAAAGAUCAAAUCUUAUUUGAUCUUAGGCGUUCAAAUCCAAACCAAGGGAUAGAUGGGCAUGGAGAUGAUGUUGUGCGGCAAGAAAGGAACUCCCAG
rnacentral:lncRNA from 1 species